AUUGAACGCUGGCGGCAGGCCUAACACAUGCAAGUCGAGCGAGCGGCGGACGGGUGCGUAAUGGAUGGGGACUGCCCGAUAGAGGGGGAUAACUACUGGAAACGGUAGCUAAUACCGCAUACUAUCGGAUAACCCAUAUGGGAUGAGCUAGUAGGUGCGGUAAUGGCUCACCUAGGCGACGAUCCCUAACUGGUCUGAGAGGAUGAUCAGCCACACUGAGACUGUGACGCGGCCCAGACUCCAACGGGGGCAGCAGUGGGAAAUAGUGCACAAGGGGCGCAAGCCUGAUGAAGCCAUGCCGCGUGUAUGAGGAAGGCCCUAGGGUUGUAAAGUACUUUCAGUCGGGAGGCGUUACCAACAGAAGGAACACCGGCUAACUCCGUGCCAGCAGCCGCGGUAAUAC
rnacentral:rRNA from 1 species